CCUACGGGAGGCAGCAGUGAGGAAUAUUGGUCAAUGGACGAGAGUCUGAACCAGCCAAGUAGCGUGAAGGAUGACUCCCCUAUGGGUUGUAAACUUCUUUUAUAUGGGAAUAAAAUGUUCCACGUGUGGGAUUUUGUAUGUACUAUAUGCAUAAGGAUCGGCUAACUCCGUGGCAGCAGCCGCGGUAAUACGGAGGUUACUAGCGUUAUCCGGAUUUCUUGGGUUUAAAGGGCGCGUAGGUGGAUUGUUAAGUCAGUUGUGAAAGUUUGCGGCUCAACCGUAGAAUUGCAGUUGAAACUGGCAGUCUGGAGUACAGUAGAGGUGGGCGGAAUUCGUGGUGUAGCGGUGAAAUGCUUAGAUAUCACGAAGAACUCCGAUGGCGAAGGCAGCUCACUGGACUGCAACUGACACUGAGGCUCGAAAGUGUGGGUAUCAAACAGGAUUAGAUACCCUUGUAGUC
rnacentral:rRNA from 1 species